AAACUCUGAAAAUAGUUAUAAUAGUUCACCCUCUAGUCAAAUGUCUUGGUCUAAUCGCAAUGAACUUUAUCUUUAUAAACGAUUGUUUACUGUUUAGAAGCUGAUCAUGGCAUUUACGCGUGAUCGUGAGCCGUAAACAAAAUCUAUAUCUGUCAUUUUCAAGGCGUGAUACCGCGUACAUACAUUUUCGUACGAUUAUCUAAGCAUAUUGAAACAAACGGCUCAUUAUGAACACUUAAGCAUACUAGACUUUUCAUUUUUUUUUUUUUUUUUAUCUUUUCUCCUUUUUUUCUUUUUUCUUCUUUUCUUUUUUUUUUCUUUUUUCUUUUUUCUUCGAAUCUAUCUUCAUCUCGCGCACAUCCUAUUGAAACCAUUAAUAUCGUCCAUUAAUAUUAAGUUGCAAGGAAUUUCUUAAGAGGAAUCAUGCUUUAUUAACAACAAAUUGUGUUACGAAACUUGGAAAGUUUUGAUGCAACAACAAUUAUGAAAAAUAUGAUAUAUUAUCGUAUGCAAGAAUCUAAGCUUAACUCGAAAAAUGUGCCACGUGCUACGAUAUUCAUUAAACUAGAAAAAAAGUCGUUUCUUUUAGCAGCAAAAUAGAUAUCUCGCGCGUUAUGUAAUGAUGAUGACUGUGUGCUCUCGACACUUCUAUUUGACAGGUCAUGGCUGUUUUUAUGUUCAUAUCCGAAGACAAUCGAACGAACGAGUUUAAUGUUAAAUAAUCAUAAUCCUAAUCAUUAGAAGCCUACCAUCGUAAUAAUCACAAUAGACGUGUAGCAAUAGUGACGCAGAAAAAUAAAAAUACCGUAUAUUCGUCCUUACGUAAGGCGUCAGAAUCAACCGUUUCGCAUUGCUGCAAGGAGCGCCCUUGGAUUUUCAUCCUGUAUCGCAGUCCUGCACCGUGUGACUGCAUUUGUAGCAGCUUUACCGACUAAAAAAGGGCUUGCUGUAAAGCAAUGGAUUUUGUUAUCUCUUAAUCCACGAAGCCAAAGUUCGAUCGAGGCAGCGUUUGGCCCUUCUUCCGCGACUUCAAACUCCUCUGCAAGCAGAAGACUUUGAUUCAACCAUAAUGCAAUACGCUGUGCUCUCUCAGCAACCUACAUGAAUACCAUGAUUCUGAUUAAUCCUAAGAUAUGGAUCACUAUAUAGAAAUCUCUUUUAAUAAUUUACCUCUAUAGUAAUACCGCCAUCUAUUACCGUUUGGGAAGCUUCCUCUGGAUGUGAAAUAAUUUCAUACAUACAAAAUCUGGGCCCAUUUUUUGGAGGACGUAAUUCAAUUUCUAAUUCACCUUGCGGCCUAUUUGGAUGAGCUACAAGUGUUUCACCCUCGAAUACACCUUCUGCAAAUACUAUGGCACAAUAAACCUAUGUAAAAAAAUGAUGAAAUAGAUACGGCAACUAAAUCUGGUCUACCUUGUCUUCUAUAAUCAGCCUCUACAAUGCCAGCCACGCCAGUAGACAAUUGUAUUUUAAAUAUGACAUCUCCGGUAUUACAAGAUCUUGCAUCAACUUUCCCG